rnacentral:rRNA from 1 species
UAAGGUAGCAUAAUAAUUUGCCUGCUAAUUACAGGAUUGUAUGAAAGGUCUAACAAGGACUUUCUUUAUUAAUAUAACAAUUUUAAAUUAAUUUAUAAGUAAAAAAGCUUAUAUUUCUUAGGGGGACGACAAGACCCUGUCGAACUUUACACCUUUGUUUAGCUGGGGCGGCCAAAAACUAAAUCUUUUUAAACAUAAACCCAAAAUCCUUACUAUGAAUAACAAGUUACCGCAGGGAUAACAGCAUAAUUUUUUUCCAAAGACCUUAUAUAAAAAAAAGAUUGUGACCUCGAUGUUGAAUUAAAAUUCUUCUUAAAGCAGCAUUUAAGAAAGAAAGUCUGUUCGACUUUUAAACAUUUACGUGAUCUGAGUUCAGACCG